rnacentral:rRNA from 1 species
UACGUAGGGGGCAAGCGUUGUCCGGAUUUAUUGGGCGUAAAGAGCGUGUAGGCGGCCAGGUAGGUCUGCUGUGAAAACUCGAGGCUCAACCUCGAGACGUCGGCGGAAACCAUCUGGCUAGAGUCCGGAAGAGGAGAGUGGAAUUCCUGGUGUAGCGGUGAAAUGCGCAGAUAUCAGGAAGAACACCCGUGGCGAAGGCGGCUCUCUGGGACGGUACUGACGCUGAGACGCGAAAAGCGUGGGGAGCGAACAGG